AACGAACGCUGGCGGCAUGCCUAACACAUGCAAGUCGAACGAGACCUUCGGGUCUAGUGGCGCACGGGUGCGUAACGCGUGGGAACCUGCCCUUAGGUUCGGCAUAACUCCCCGAAAGGGGUGCUAAUACCGGAUAAUGUCUUCGGACCAAAGAUUUAUCGCCUUUGGAUGGGCCCGCGUUGGAUUAGCUAGUUGGUAGGGUAAAAGCCUACCAAGGCGACGAUCCAUAGCUGGUCUGAGAGGAUGAUCAGCCACACUGGGACUGAGACACGGCCCAGACUCCUACGGGAGGCAGCAGUGGGGAAUAUUGGACAAUGGGCGAAAGCCUGAUCCAGCAAGGCCGCGUGAGUGAUGAAGGCCUUAGGGUUGUAAAGCUCUUUUACCCGGGAUGAUAAUGACAGUACCGGGAGAAUAAGCUCCGGCUAACUCCGUG
rnacentral:rRNA from 1 species